CCUACGGGAGGCAGCAGUGGGGAAUAUUGCACAAUGGGGGAAACCCUGAUGCAGCAACGCCGCGUGAGGGAAGACGGUUUUCGGAUUGUAAAAUUCUGUUCUUAGUGAAGAAAAAUGACGGUAGCAACGGAGCAAGCCACGGCUAACUACGUGCCAGAAGCCGCGGUAAUACGGGGGCUGCAAGCGUUAUCCGGAUUUAUUGGGUUUAAAGGGUGCGUGGGCUGGGAGGUACGACAGCGGCGAAAUGCCCCCGCUCAACGGGGUGAAGUGCCAUUGAUACUGCCUUGCUGGAAUGCGGAUGCCGUGAGAGGAAUGUGUGGUGUAGCGGUGAAAUGCAUAGAUAUCACACAGAACACCGAUUGCGAAGGCAUCUCACGAAUCCGCGAUUGACGCUGAUGCACGAAAGCGUGGGUAUCAAACAGGAUUAGAUACCCCUGUAGUC
rnacentral:rRNA from 1 species